CAAGUCCGGUGGUCCUGGAGGACCUGACUCCAGUGGUCUCAAGUCCAGUGGUCCUGGAGGACCUGACUCUGGUGGUCUCAAGUCCGGUGGUCCUGGAGGACCCAACUCCUGUGGGGCCAAGUCCAGUGAUCUUGAAGGACCCAACUCUGGUGGUCCCAGAAGUUACUGAUCAGUCCGCUCUCUUUGUCUCUCCCAUGAUCCUCGCCCUGCCGGCUCCACCCAGGCUCCUUGCCUUGCCAGCUCCAGCCAAGCUCCUUGCCCUGCCGGCCCCACCUAAGCUCUCUGCUUUGCUGGCCCAACUUAACCUUCCUGCUUUGUUGGCCCAGGAGCCUGCCACAGAGCCCGCUCCAGUCCGGGAGCAUUCAGAGUCCACUCCAGAGCCCACUCCAGUCCGGAAGCCCUCAGAGUCUACUCCAGAGCCCGCUCCAGUCUGGGAGACCUCAGAGUCCACUCCAGAGCCCGCUCCAGUUCGAGAGCCCUCAGAGUCCACUCAUGAACUCGCUCCAGUCCAGGAGUCCAUUCCCGAGCCUACUCCAGUUCCUUCCAAGGUGGCAGCUUCUGCUGCAGAACCUCCCGAGGUGGCUGCGUCCACUUCAGCUCCCCUCUGGGAAGUGGCGUCCACUCCUGAACUCUCAGUCUGCCAUGUCAUGGCCAAAGAGACAGUUGUUGAACUGUCUGUCUGCCCUGUUACGGUCAAGGAGACCAUUGCUGAGCUGUCUGCCUGUCCUGUUACAGCCAUCAAGGCUGUUACUAACCUCUCUGUGCUCUUCUUUGCAGUCCUGCCUGAGCCGCUAGGGGGUUCAUCUGCCUUGUCAGCUCUGCAGAGCUGGUCAUUAGCUCCGCCUUUUGCUGCCUUCCAAGCUCCUGGUUCCGCCCUGGUCGCCCACCGGGGUUGCUGUUCGGCCGGAUCCUCACUGGUCUGUUCCUCCGGUUCCGCCUUGGCUAUCCGUCAGGGUUUCUGUUUGGCCAGAGCCUCGCUGGUCAGUCCCUCUGGCUCCGCCAUGGUUGUCUGCUGGGGUUCCUGUUUGGCCGGAGCCUCGCUGGUCAGUCCCUCCGGCUCCGCCCUGGUCAUCUGCUGGGGUUUCUGUUUGUCCGGAGCCUCGCUGGUUUGUCCUGCCGGCCCCGCCCUGGCCUCCUGCUCCACCUUGGCACCCUGGCCUAUCUCUGUCUCCAGGCCCUCUUCCACUACAUGGGCCUGGCCCGCCAUCCCUCCUCCUGAUCCGCCUCUGUUCCGCCUCCCUCCUGGAUUUCGUAGACUUUUGUUGGAGCGUCUGGAAUCCACUCCUUAAAGCGUGGGUCAUGUAACAGCCAUCUGCUGGAGUGCCCAUGAUAGCCACCAGAGGGCACUCCUUUUGGAUCUAGUUUGCUUGUUCUGGACUUCAUUUCCCAUCACCCUUUGCUCUGUCUAUUAGUUCUCAUUGUUUCCAGCUGUGUGUUUAGUCUUAUUAGCUCACCCUGAUAUAUACCAUGCUCAUUUAGUUUUUGGUUGUUGGAUUAUUGUUUUCUGUUACGUGUUUUCUGUUACUCUGCGUUGGAUUACAUUUUGCCCUUGUUUUCUGCCUGUUGCCCU
ensembl:lncRNA